GAGGGUAUAGCUCAGUGGUAGAGUGUAUGCUUGGCAUGCGCAAGUCCUGGGUUCAACGCCCAGUAUCUACU
rnacentral:tRNA from 1 species